rnacentral:rRNA from 1 species
UACGUAGGGUGCAAGCGUUAAUCGGAAUUACUGGGCGUAAAGCGUGCGCAGGCGGUUGUGCAAGACCGAUGUGAAAUCCCCGGGCUUAACCUGGGAAUGGCAUUGGUGACUGCACGGCUAGAGUGUGUCAGAGGGGGGUAGAAUUCCACGUGUAGCAGUGAAAUGCGUAGAGAUGUGGAGGAAUACCGAUGGCGAAGGCAGCCCCCUGGGAUAACACUGACGCUCAUGCACGGAAGCGUGGGGAGCAAACAGG